rnacentral:lncRNA from 1 species
GCCACGAAACUGAGAUCCACUUGGGGCAUCUGUUAAUAUGUACAGACCUUUCCUGUUAGGUGUUGUCAGGAUCUGUCAUCAGUAUCAAUUUUUUAGCCUCUCAUUAUUUUCUUAAGUAAAUAUCAAACACUCUGGACUGAGUUUCCUGAUGAGAGUAGUUACAGAAGACAUGAUAUGAGAUACAAAUAAGUGUAUUUUAUCAGUCAGUUUUUAGUAGAAGAAAUGUUGUCUUCAAACCCUACAAAAUAAGAUUUCAUUGUUACUUUAUUUGAAGUUAAAUUAGAUGAGAGUGUUCUGAAGACAGAUUAAAUUAAUCCACAGAUUUUUUUCAAAAGCUCAUAUCAAAAUUACUCAAAAUGUAAGAAUUUUGGGGGGGGUAAGUUUACUAAAAACUGAAAGGAUGACAGUAAAGAGUUUAAAGUCUCGUGGUUUAGUUCAUUGCAAGGCCUUGCUAGCAGACUUUUGAUUAAAAUUUUGUGAAUGUAAAAACAGAUUUAUGCAAGAAUCUCAUUAUAUGUGAGCUCCUGUUUUGAUUGCACAGCAAGAGUUAUUCUGCAAAACAGCCAUAUUUUAUUGUUUAGGGGGUUUGACCUUUUCA